GCCGGGCGACGGUUGUCCCGGUUUAAGCAUGUAGGCUGAUUGUCCAGGCAAAUCCGGAUAAUCAAGGCUGAGGUGUGAUGACGAGGCACUACGGUGCUGAAGUAACAAAUGCCCUGCUUCCAGGAAAAGCCUCUAAGCAUCAGGUAACAUUAAAUCGUACCCCAAACCGACACAGGUGGUCAGGUAGAGAAUACCAAGGCGCUUGAGAGAACUCGGGUGAAGGAACUAGGCAAAAUGGUGCCGUAACUUCGGGAGAAGGCACGCUGGUGUGUAGGUGAAGUCCCUGCGGAUGGAGCUGAGA
rnacentral:rRNA from 1 species